rnacentral:sRNA from 2 species
UUAAAAAAAUAAGCGCUUUGGAAAAUGUCUGUCUUCAUAUCCUCAUUAGGAAACUUCUCUUUAAUUUUGUAGUCAAAUCAGAAAAUUAAUGCCCGUUGGACCACAGAGGAGCAGCUUCUAGCAGUGCAAGGUGACUGGCUACUAGGGAAAUAAAUGAAUGUGGAAUUGAGGAUGGAACAAAGAAUUCAAUGCUUUACAAUAAAUGGACUGUAUUUGAGAGUUCAAGAGAGGAUUGGAGAAAAUAACUGAGUAUGUAAAAAAUGGUGUCCGCAAAUAUGGUAAAGAUUUUCAAGCUAUUGCAGAUGUAAUUGGCAACAAGACUGUUGGCCAAGUGAAGAACUUCUUUGUAAACUACAGGCGUCGGUUUAACUUAGAGGAGGUAUUGCAGGAGUGGGAAGCAGAACAAGGAACCCAGGCUUCUAAUGGUGAUGCUUCUACUUUAGGGGAGGAGACAAAAAGUGCUUCUAAUGUGCCAUCAGGGAAGAGCACUGAUGAAGAAGAGGAGGUGUGUUUGUGUAUGGAAUUUGAGCUAAUAUGAGUUGAGGAAUCACCAUUUUGUGUGGUAUUCU